UUCCAAAUUUAUGUAAAUUUGUGGGUAGGU
rnacentral:piRNA from 1 species